rnacentral:rRNA from 1 species
UACAGAGGGGGCAAGCGUUGUUCGGAAUUACUGGGCGUAAAGGGCGCGUAGGCGGCCCGCUAAGUCGAACGUGAAAUCCCCGAGCUCAACUCGGGAACUGCGUCCGAUACUGGUGGGCUUGAAUUCGGGAGAGGGAUGCAGAAUUCCAGGUGUAGCGGUGAAAUGCGUAGAUAUCUGGAGGAAUACCGGUGGCGAAGGCGGCAUCCUGGACCGACAUUGACGCUGAGGAGCGAAAGCUAAGGGGAGCAAACGGGG